rnacentral:lncRNA from 1 species
GUAUGUGGUGUUGACACCUAGAGCUGUUCAAUAUGGUAAAACCGAACCGUACCGAACCGAACCGAACCGAAAUAGACAAUAUGGUUUGGUUUUGGUAUAUACCAUAUAAACCGAAUGGAUAUAAUUUUAUAAAAACCGUAGGAUUUGGAUAUGGUUUGGUAUAUAACCGAUUAAACCGAAUAAACCGAACAAAACCGAUUAAAAGUAGAAACAUGUAAAUAUGUAUCUAUUUUAUAACAAUACAUGAAAAUCUAUUUGUUAUAUAAGUUAAAUUUGUGUUAAUAACUAUUACCAUAAUGUUAUAGUAAUAAAGAACUUAUAUUAAUUUGUAAAACACUUGAAUACAUCGCAAUUCAGACAUCUUAUUUUCUAAGUUUUUUUUUUUUAUCUUUUUGCUUUAUUUUAGUAUUCACUAAAUUAAUAUGAAGAUGAUAAAUUUGACGGAAAAUAAUUAAUGAAAAAUUUUCACUAACUUUUUUCUUAUCUAUAAACAAACAGAGUUUCAUGUUCAAUCAAAAAAUCAUGACUUUAAUGAACACUAAAUAUGGAAGAGUGGAAAAACUUUUCUUUCAUGUUUCUGUUUUGUUUCAUAUUUUUAUUUUCAAAAUUUCAGGCUCUGAUUUUAAUUAUAGAUUUGAUGAUUUUAUUUGAUGGUAGAAGCAUUUUUACGUUUUUGUUCAUUUAUUUGAACAUGUAAUAUAUUUUUAAUAAAUGACUGUGUUGACAAUAUGACUCUAAAAUUUAUUUUAUUGAUCUCAAACUAAAUAAUUAUGUUUUUUUGGUAUAAAACCGAAUAAACCGAAAACCGACGGUAUAUAAACCGAACCGAACCGAAGUAAAUAUAUAUUUAGAAUGGUAGUUAUAUUUUACUAACCGAAAUACCGAAAACCGAAAAAAACCGAACCUAAACCGAACCGAUAUUCGGAUUGAACACACCUCAUAAAAAAUGGCAAAGUUGUGAAUAUAGUACCAAAUAAAUGUUAAUCUCCCAGAAUGUUUCCCUAUUAAUAAGAAAAGGAUGGAUAUAUGUGUUGAUUAGAGGAAUUGUAUAUUUAGAAAUGUUGAAGAAGAACACCAUAGUUUUAUUUAUGCUAGAUUUCACUUCCAAUCUACUAUAUGAUAACAAAGCGACCAAGGGCCUUGAUUCUUGACUAUUGUUAGUCCAACUCCAAUGAUUUGGGGUUUGAGGAUAAUAACUCAUGGAAUACCAUUGGGAAAGGUUGCUCCAAA